rnacentral:rRNA from 1 species
GACGUAGGGUGCGAGCGUUGUCCGGAUUUAUUGGGCGUAAAGAGCUCGUAGGCGGUUCGAUAAGUCGGACGUGAAAUCUCCACGCUCAACGUGGAGGGGCCGUUCGAUACUGUCGUGACUCGAGUCCGGUAGGGGAGUGUGGAAUUCCCGGUGUAGCGGUGAAAUGCGCAGAGAUCGGGAGGAACACCCGUAGCGAAGGCGGCACUCUGGGCCGGUACUGACGCUGAGGAGCGAAAGCGUGGGGAGCAAACAGG